GUGUUUAAAGCAGGCUUAAGCUUGGAUACAUUAGCAUGGAAUAAUGAAAUAGGACGUUUUGAUCUUAUUUUGUUGGUUUCUAAGAUCGACGUAAUGAUUAAUAGGGAUAGUUGGGGGCAUUAGUAUUCAAUUGUCAGAGGUGAAAUUCUUGGAUUUAUUGAAGACGAACUACUGCGAAAGCAUUCGCCAAGGAUGUUUUCAUUAAUCAGUGAACGAAAGUUAGGGGAUCGAAGACGAUCAGAUACCGUCGUAGUCUUAACCAUAAACUAUGCCGACUAGGGAUCGGACGGUGGUUUUUUUAUGCCCCGUUCGGCGCCUUACGGGAAAC
rnacentral:rRNA from 2 species